CGGACGGGUGAGUAACGCGUGAGAAUUUGCCCUCAGGAGGGGGAUAACGGCUGGAAACGGGCGCUAAUACCCCAUAUGCCGCGAGGUGAAAUGAAUUUCGCCUGAGGAUGAGCUCGCGUCUGAUUAGCUAGUUGGUGGGGUAAAGGCCUACCAAGGCGACGAUCACUAACUGGUCUGAGAGGAUGAUCAGCCACACUGGCACUGAGACACGGCCCAGACUCCUACGGGAGGCAGCAGUGGGGAAUUUUCCGCAAUGGGCGAAAGCCUGACGGACCAACGCCGCGUGAGGUAUGAAGGCCUCUGGGCUGUAAACCUCUUUUCUCAAGGAAGAAGAUCUGACGGUACUUGAGGAAUAAGCCACGGCUAAUUCCGUGCCAGCAGCCGCGGUAAUACGGGAGUGGCAAGCGUUAUCCGGAAUUAUUGGGCGUAAAGCGUCCGCAGGCGGCCCUGUAAGUCUGUCGUUAAAGCGUGGAGCUUAACUCCAUUUCAGCGAUGGAAACUACAGGGCUUGAGUGUGGUAGGGGCAGAGGGAAUUCCCGGUGUAGCGGUGAAAUGCGUAGAUAUCGGGAAGAACACCAGUGGCGAAGGCGCUCUGCUGGGGCAUAACUGACGCUCAUGGACGAAAGCCAGGGGAGCGAAAGGGAUUAGAUACCCCUGUAGUC
rnacentral:rRNA from 1 species